rnacentral:rRNA from 1 species
CUACGGGCGGCUCCAGUGGGGAAUAUUGCACAAUGGGCGCAAGCCUGAUGUAGCAACGCCGCGUGAGGGAUGAAGGCCUUCGGGUUGUAAACCUCUUUUAGCAGGGAAGAAGCGAAAGUGACGGUACCUGCAGAAAAAGCACCGGCUAACUACGUGCCAGCAGCCGCGGGAAUACGUAGGGUGCAAGCGUUGUCCGGAAUUAUUGGGCGUAAAGAGCUCGUAGGCGGUUUGUCACGUCUGCUGUGAAAAUCCAAGGCUCAACCUUGGACUUGCAGUGGGUACGGGCAGGCUAGAGUGCGGUAGGGGAGAUGGGAAUUCCUGGUGUAGCGGUGGAAUGCGCAGAUAUCAGGAGGAACACCAAUGGCGAAGGCACAUCUCUGGGCCGUAACUGACGCUGAGGAGCGAAAGCGUGGGGAGCGAACAGGAUUAGAUACCCGAGUAGUC